UACGAAGGGGGCUAGCGUUGCUCGGAAUCACUGGGCGUAAAGGGUGCGUAGGCGGGUCUUUAAGUCAGGGGUGAAAUCCUGGAGCUCAACUCCAGAACUGCCUUUGAUACUGAGGAUCUUGAGUUCGGGAGAGGUGAGUGGAACUGCGAGUGUAGAGGUGAAAUUCGUAGAUAUUCGCAAGAACACCAGUGGCGAAGGCGGCUCACUGGCCCGAUACUGACGCUGAGGCACG
rnacentral:rRNA from 1 species